GUCCACGCCCUAAACGAUGCACACUAGUUGUUGUGAGGCUAGACCUUGCAGUAAUGCAGUUAACACAUUAAGUGUGCCGCCUGGGGAGUACGGUCGCAAGAUUAAAACUCAAAGGAAUAGACGGGGACCCGCACAAGCGGUGGAGCAUGUGGUUUAAUUCGACGAUACACGAAGAACCUUACCUGGACUUGACAUAGUAAGAACUUUCUAGAGAUAGAUUGGUGUCUGCUUGCAGAAACUUAUAUACAGGUGCUGCACGGCUGUCGU
rnacentral:rRNA from 1 species